GACGGAGGGUGCAAGCGUUGUUCGGAUUGACUGGGCGUAAAGGGCGUGUAGGCGGUUGGUCAAGUCUGAUGUGAAAGCCCGGGGCUCAGCUCCGGAAGGGCAUCGGAAACUAACCAGCUGGAGCGCGAUAGAGGAGGGCGGAAUUCCUGGUGUAGCGGUGAAAUGCGUAGAUAUCAGGAGGAACACCGGCGGCGAAGGCGGCCCUCUGGAUCGUUGCUGACGCUGAGACGCGAAAGCGUGGGGAGCAAACAGG
rnacentral:rRNA from 1 species